GAUGAACGCUGGCGGCGUGCCUAAUACAUGCAAGUCGAGCGAACAGAUGAGGAGCUUGCUCCUCUGACGUUAGCGGCGGACGGGUGAGUAACACGUGGAUAACCUACCUAUAAGACUGGGAUAACUUCGGGAAACCGGAGCUAAUACCGGAUAAUAUAUUGAACCGCAUGGUUCAAUAGUGAAAGACGGUUUUGCUGUCACUUAUAGAUGGAUCCGCGCCGCAUUAGCUAGUUGGUAAGGUAUCGGCUUACCAAGGCAACGAUGCGUAGCCGACCUGAGAGGGUGAUCGGCCACACUGGAACUGAGACACGGUCCAGACUCCUACGGGAGGCAGCAGUAGGGAAUCUUCCGCAAUGGGCGAAAGCCUGACGGAGCAACGCCGCGUGAGUGAUGAAGGUCUUCGGAUCGUAAAACUCUGUUAUUAGGGAAGAACAAAUGUGUAAGUAACUAUGCACGUCUUGACGGUACCUAAUCAGAAAGCCACGGCUAACUACGUG
rnacentral:rRNA from 1 species